AUGGGAAUAAUAGCACUUUUCCUCCCUACCUUCAGAGAGAUGAGAAUCUCUCUGAGAAUCAGAGAGAUGCUAUUUAUGGAAAGACAAUAUAACCACAAAUCCCUGCCUGUAUACUAUAUGGUGAAUAGUCUGUCAUUACAGGAGGUGGCAUGCUGCUAUGGACAAAGUACUGGGAAAAAAAAUCAGGAGACCUGGGAUCCACUCCUGGCUGAGCUGAAAAAUCUCUUCAUGUUGGGACAUCCAAGAUGCUCUAGACUCAUACAACCUGUGAGUCAGAAAGAUAGAUUUCCAAGAUUGGCAUGUGCUGGAAGCAUGGGCCAGUUGGCCUAUCUUAAAAGUUUCUUUCUGUGUGGAGUGGACAUAAGAGCCGAAGAGGCCUCUGGUGGGGAACUGAUGAACAACCCAAGAAUUCAAGUUAAGAAGAAAGAAACUACCUAAUCCAUACCAGCAAAUAGCUUAAAAGAGUGGUAGAAAGAAGCAAAAAAUGUAGAAUCUGACAGAUUCAAGACAAAAUCUCAUAUAGAUCAUUUAUCUGACUUUGGGCAAAUUAUUUACAAUUUCUGAGCCUAAGUAUUCUUAUCCAUAAAACUGGGAUACUAAUGUUCUUCCACUGGAUUGUUAAAAAUAUUAAAUGAGAUGCAAACGUACGAGCCUGGCCAUUUAGUCCAAUAACUAAGAACAAGGAUGGAAUGACCCUGACCUGAGUGAGGGGACAUGGAAGCCCAUUGGUCAUCUCUGGAGGACCUGAUCUAGACCUAGAAAGAUCUUGGGAGCAGGCCCUCAUCAGGUGGAGAGGAGAGGGAGGAGACAGUGGAGCUCACUUGGUUCUUCCUGCCUCCAUGGGGAUUGAUGAGGACAGAGCCCAAAUGAAGAGCUAAAGAAGGUAGAGGCUGAAGGCCUCAAAGACCAGAACAUGCUAGCAACAAACACAGGCAAGUCCAAGGAGGACCCCUGUGUCCCAGUGAUCACUCUUCUGUGAAUUCCUCCCCGUGUAGAUUUUUACAAACAGACAUACCCAACUUACCCUCCACCCAAAGUCUGCAGAGAAGGAGUAAUUGCAGCACCCAUGCCAGACUCUUCAGCAGAGCAGGCAGAAAGGGACCACAUGAGGGCAAUGCUGCUUGGUGUCAACCCUAGCCCUAUGCUCUGAACUCAUGCACCAUGAGGUCACCACUUCAUCAGUGGAAGUUCUGGGUACCUCUCCCUGUUCAAAAUCAAGGUUCUAUGUUCUCCUCUCUUUUCCCAAAUUAAAAUAGCUGCUUGCCCCCAUUCACACAUAGGCUUCCUAGAGUAAUUCCUUCCCAUAUUCAAUCCCUUUGGAAUCUCUUAUUUAAAUGGGAUCCUCAUUUCUCUUUUGCCCUAAGAUACUUACCACCAUGAUAGCCAGCUAACUCCCUAAGUCCACCCCCACGUUGGCCAGGUCUCUCCAACCCCAACU
rnacentral:lncRNA from 1 species